AAUAAAUGUAUAUGUGCCAAAAAGACUAUAUGCACCAAAAAGAUUGUAUGUAUACAAAAGUUGCUUUGAGGUCUAGAAUUCAAGUUAAAGAAUUUUUCUCUCUUGUAAGCAAAAUUAUAUAAAAUUUGUUCUAUGGAUUAUUUUAAAGUUUGCUUAUGAAUCUACUUAUCAAAUCUUGGUUUUGAAAAAAACUUUAGGAAGCCAACCCUUUAUGUAUAUAUUUUAUUUCAUAAAACUAGGCAAUGUCUAAAAGAAAGUUUGUCCUUCUUUUAAAUUAACUGAUUUAAAAAUACUAUGUAUCAUAUAGUCAACUAUUGCAUACUAUGUUGAUAGAUAUUGUGCUGAUUUCUUUUGUGUAUUGUAAGAAAGCAAUAAUGGAUCUUAUAAAUGACAAGGUGCAUGC
rnacentral:lncRNA from 1 species